rnacentral:lncRNA from 1 species
CGAAAAGAUUCCAGGCAAACUGUCACUGCCAAGUAGGCAUCUGCCUACCUGCAUGGCUCCCUUGGCUGCCUGAGUUCAUAAGCUCCACUCCCAAAGGUGGCUUCCCGCCAAAGCUGGGAGCUGGCUACCCAAUCCUAACUCGAUCUCAGUCUCCCAUUAAAGCCCCAUGUGCUCGGGAGCAGCUUUGCAAAUCGCUAAUGGUUUCUUUUUUCGGGAAAAGAGAGAGGCAGGCCAGUGUAGCAGCCAGCUGACUGACAGAAAUCCACAAAGCUGGCAGCCGGCCCGGCCCAGAAGACAAAAGGGUCUUUGGUUCACCUGUCAAGACUGUGCUCCUUCCUCAGGUCUCUUCCCGUGGAGCUUAUCUGAUUCCUCCAGCCAGCUGACUGGCCAUAACAUAAGCUGGAUCUAUCAGAUUUUUCUCCUGGGAAUUUGGCAUUGUGACUCAGAGCCGGCUAGUCAGUCUAUUUGUUGCUGGGAGCAGAGCAUAAACCAUAUUCUUCCAUGUGGACGAAGAACCUGUGAAGCCUCUUCAGAGAGAGAAGUUUUACAACAAAGCAGCAAAAGCAAGAAAUAGUGUCGAGUCUUUGCCGUCUUCUGUCCUGCUCUGUGCCUUGGGGACUGAGAAUGGGAUUAUCACCACCCACCGCCCCCUCCCCUUUUAACCACACCCCAUGACCUUGUGAUUUCAUUUUUGAGUUCUUUUUUUAAUUGCUUCAAUCCUAUUAUGUUUUUCUAUAACACAAAGCAUAUGCAUGGGAUUUGCUUUUAUUCCCUGAGUUAUAGUUUUCUUUUAGACUAGGUUCUUUGUCUUUUCCUGUUAUGCUUUUUCCCCCUCUGCAGAGCGUUUUACAGCUUCCAUGUGGUUUUCUUUUUCAUCUCAUGGUUAUCAUGAGACACUUGUCCAGAAUUUCUAUUUGAUCCACUAUAGUGUGUGAGUGAGUUCCCUUUAAAUUCUUUUCCACUGAGACCUAUUUAUAUAUCUCUAAACUACAAAUAAAGCCUGGGCAUCCCAGGUCCUAGCCA